GCUUGCCAUAUACCUGUCUUCUACCCUCUAGAUCCUAUCUGAUCUUGGAAGAUAAGUAGGUUCAGCCCUAGUUAGUAUUUUGAUGCUAGACUGAAGUUCAAUAUCAGGUACUGCAGGUU
rnacentral:rRNA from 11 species